UCUCGAUCAUCCAGCCGCUUUAUUUUUCAAAGUAUAGCGUCUGGAUGACAAGUGAUAUAGGAAUGGUAAUGUAUGACAAUCGGAAAAGUAUCGGCUUUUUUAGCUUGUUUAAAUGGAUAAUAUCCAAGACGAAUAACCAAGAAGUUGGUUAUUGACUUCGGAAGAAAUUACAUUACGAUAAUAUUAUUGAAAAGUCCGAGUGUUUCGAUUGUUGUUUGAAUUAGUCGAAUGACGUCGUUUAAAGCUAUUUUUAUUUGUUUGUGACGUUAUACAAAGCAUGGAAAACACCAGACAGCAUGGCUUGGCCGCGAAGGAAAAUAACAGCACAGCCAACCUUGGGCUUGACAAACCAAUGAUGAUUUCUGGACACAGAUUUUAUGUGAUAAAUGUCAAGAAUUAAAAAAAUAUAAUGUUCAGGAUAUUCAUUGUAUCAUGCUUAAACAGCUUCAAUUUUAUAAGAAUAAGAUUCAAAGGAUUUUUUUUUUAAAUACUGAAGUAUAAAUCAGUAUAAAUAAAUCACAGUACCAAGAAUGUUGGGUAAACAUUAUUUUGACAGCAACCACAAAGCCAAAAAAAAAUACACAGACGUAUAUUAAGUCUAUAAAACAAAAAUCAAGAACAGCAUUGUUGUCAGACAUGUCAGAGCAUUAAAAUUUGUAUUUACAAAUUAAAAAUCAUAUAAAAAAUUAAA